GCUCAGUCCCAACAGCUACUGCUGCUAUGUCUCUGUUGGUGCUGACCCAUCCUCAGCUGCAUCUGGCCCUGGCAGGGAUCAUGCGCCGGAACUCCCUGAGUGGCAGCAGUACGGGGUCCCAGGAUCAGCGGCCGAACAAAGGGGUGACGUUUGCUGGAGACUUCAGCCGGAUGUAGUUGGCUGGUCAGGAGUGACUUGCAUGGACUACCUCAGCCAAGCGCUUGCUGCACUAGAGGUCCAGUGAGGGGCCCUGCUGUGAGCUGGGAAUCCUGUGCUGUAGUUCCCUUCCUGGUACAGAGGCAG